AAGAAGCACUUGAGGAUUGUGGAAUUCACAUCAACUAGAAAAUCUAACUCAGGGCUGGUGAUGUGGGUAACAGGUCGAGUAAGACGAGAUGUUGCUACGAAUUGUUGUUUUAUUUGCAUUAUGUUUAACUGUUUUAUUGGCGGAUAAGAAUUUUUGGGGCAAUGAUAUAUGCACAUCACCCAACGAUUGUACAGGUCCAAUGGAAUGUCAUCCUGAAUUUGGAUGUACAAUCGAUAGCGCAAUUGAAAAGUUGGCCACAGUUAGAUUGGGAUAUUUGGCUGCAUGGUUGUAUAUCUGCUGCUGCUGCAUUGGAGUCUGUGUAUGCAUACGAUGUUCAAGAUGGGCUAAACAGCGUACCGUAGUCGCUUCAAACAACAAUUAUGUGACACAGUCCGUAGCAGCGAAUCACAAUCUACUGGACGAUCUAAACAUGGAUAAUCCACCACCUUAUUGUCAACACCAACAAAUGUGAACUAAAAUAACGAAGGCAUCUAGCAAUAGUGUGAUUCCCAUGUAAAUCUGCUUUGUAACGAAUAUUAAGGAGUCCAAUACAAAGUC